AAUAUUGGACAAUGGGCGAAAGCCUGAUCCAGCCAUGCCGCGUGUGUGAAGAAGGUCUUCGGAUUGUAAAUCACUUGAAGUUGGGAGGAAGAUUUGUAGGCUAAUACCUUGCAAUUUUGACGUUACCACCAGAAUAAGCAACUGCUAACUUCGUGCGAGCAGCAGAGGUAAUACGAUGGGUGCAAGCGUUAAUCGGAAUUACUGGGCGUAAAGCGUGCGUAGGUGGUUCGUUAAGUUGGAAGUGAAAGCCCCGGGAUUAACCUGGGAAUUGCUUUCAAAACUGACGAGCUAGAGUACGGUAGAGGGUAGUGGAAUUUCCUGUGUAGCGGUGAAAUGCGUAGAUAUAGGAAGGAACAUCAGUGGCGAAGGCGACUACCUGGACUGAUACUGACACUGAGGUGCGAAAGCGUGGGGAGCAAACAGG
rnacentral:rRNA from 1 species